UUUUUUUUUUUUUAUCAAAUUCACUCCCAAACAACCAUAAAAGCUCUCUCCAAAAAGUUCCUAAGUUAUUUUCUCUUAUUUUUAAAUUCUAGUUGGAGGAAAACCUAAGAGUUGAAGAACCCCAAGUUAAGAGCUGAGCUCUUCACAAAAUAAGGUAAGUAUAAUGCCCUCUUUCAUCCCUUUAUUGUGUUGGAAAGGUAGAAAAAUUUGUUCCAUAAUAGUAAGAAUUCACGGAAGGAUGAUCGGAAGUCGUGAGUCCGAGUUGUUCAACUUGUAGAGGGCUGUUUUGAACUAUUUUGUUGGCUACUUUGUGUUGUUAUUGGGUUUAUCUUGUGUUACUAUUUAUAUGAAGUUUGGGAGGAUAAAGGGCGUGGAGAAAUACCACAUAAUGAUGGGGACUGUGAGAUAGUCAUUUUUCAUUAUAUUUUCAGGUUGUUUGACACUAGUAUGGUUAUUGUUUUGUGUAGAGUAAACUUGUAGGAGUUGCUCUGGUUGUGAUUUAAUUAUAGGAAGGCUGCUAAUCAAGGUAUGUAAUGUCUAUCUCUUUUGACCCCUUUCGGCGUGAAUUCUCCUUAAUAAUAAUAUUUCUAAAGAAAAGC
rnacentral:lncRNA from 1 species